UAAAACGGUUAUUAGUGCAGAAUGUAUAAUUAAUACAUGUGCAUUUGUAUUUUACGGUUGUAGUUUCUGUUGGUUGAUAAUCAGAAGUCUAAUUUCUUUCAGGCAGGAAAAGGACUGAAUAUUACUAUUAUAUGAAGAAUUCCAGCCUGCAUUAAAUACUUUGUUGGAUCAUUGAGACAGAUUUGACAUCCAUGUCUAUCCACAUCUGAUAGAGAUGAUGCAGGAAAAGGACUGAAUAUUACUAUAAUAUGAAGAAUUCCAGCCUGCAUUAAAUACUUUGUUGGAUCAUUGAGACAGAUUUGACAUCCAUGUCUAUCCACAAGCCAGUCACAUCUGAUAGAGAUGAUCACUAAACAUUCUAGAUGGGUAAAGAACCUGAAGGGGCAUGAAAACCAAAUCAGCAUUGACUCAGCAUUAAGUUAAUUUCAUCUGUGCACACACUACAAGUACAAACGCAUGGGAACAAACCAAACUUCAAAUGUUGAAGCGUGAAGAAUUAUUGUGAAAAAUUCUAAAUGUUAGAAUACCAUUGACUAAAUAAAACAAAUAGACAUCGAUUAC